AGUCGAGCGAACAGACGGGAGCUUGCUCCCUGAUGUUAGCGGCGGACGGGUGAGUAACACGUGGGUAACCUGCCUGUAAGACUGGGAUAACUCCGGGAAACCGGGGCUAAUACCGGAUGCUUGUUUGAACCGCAUGGUUCAAAUAUAAAAGGUGGCUUUUAGCUACCACUUACAGAUGGACCCGCGGCGCAUUAGCUAGUUGGUGAGGUAACGGCUCACCAAGGCAACGAUGCGUAGCCGACCUGAGAGGGUGAUCGGCCACACUGGGACUGAGACACGGCCCAGACUCCUACGGGAGGCAGCAGUAGGGAAUCUUCCGCAAUGGACGAAAGUCUGACGGAGCAACGCCGCGUGAGUGAUGAAGGUUUUCGGAUCGUAAAACUCUGUUGUUAGGGAAGAACAAGUACCGUUCGAAUAGGGCGGUACCUUGACGGUACCUGACCAGAAAGCCACGGCUAACUACGUGCCAGCAGCCGCGGUAAUACGUAGGUGGCAAGCGUUGUCCGGAAUUAUUGGGCGUAAAGCGCGCGCAGGCGGUUUCUUAAGUCUGAUGUGAAAGCCCCCGGCUCAACCGGGGAGGGUCAUUGGAAACUGGGGAACUUGAGUGCAGAAGAGGAGAGUGGAAUUCCACGUGUAGCGGUGAAAUGCGUAGAGAUGUGGAGGAACACCAGUGGCGAAGGCGACUCUCUGGUCUGUAACUGACGCUGAGGCGCGAAAGCGUGGGGAGCGAACAGGAUUAGAUACCCUGGUAGUCCACGCCGUAAACGAUGAGUGCUAAGUGUUAGAGGGUUUCCGCCCUUUAGUGCUGCAGCAAACGCAUUAAGCACUCCGCCUGGGGAGUACGGUCGCAAGACUGAAACUCAA
rnacentral:rRNA from 1 species